GUAAAGGGAGAUUUGAAGAAAAAUGAAUGGGAGAAGGAGGAAGUCGGAAGGAGGCGGAUGAGAUUUCGAUAGAGGGGGAAGGGUUUUUGCGGAAAGUUGGUAGACAAGGAUAACGCUUUAGGGGCGGAGAGGGAGAAGGAGAUUUCUUUUUUUUUUUUUAUUAUUAUUAUUAUUGAUUUUUUUAGAUUUUCUGGGAAAACAUGUUUUUCAUGUAUAAAGAUUCACACAAAAAUGCAUAACAGAACACACACAAAUGCAUUAAAUUGUACAAAAAAAAUGCAUUGUACUUUUCCAAAAAUAUGAAAUUUUAACCACUGACCCCCCUCCCCCCAUAAUAGACAUGUUUU
rnacentral:lncRNA from 1 species